rfam:Tupaia chinensis contig231084, whole genome shotgun sequence.
CCAAAGGCUCUUUUCAGAGUCACCUCAACUUUCAACCAAGGGGCUGU